CCCGCUGAACUUAAGCAUAUCAAUAAGCGGAGGAAAAGAAACCAACAGGGAUUGCCUCAGUAACGGCGAGUGAAGCGGCAACAGCUCAAAUUUGAAAUCUGGCUCUUUCAGGGUCCGAGUUGUAAUUUGUAGAAGAUGCUUCGGGUGUGGCUCCAGCCUAAGUUCCUUGGAACAGGACGUCAUAGAGGGUGAGAAUCCCGUAUGCGGCCGGUGGCCUUCGCCCAUGUGAAGCUCUUUCGACGAGUCGAGUUGUUUGGGAAUGCAGCUCAAAAUGGGUGGUAAAUUUCAUCUAAAGCUAAAUAUUGGCCAGAGACCGAUAGCGCACAAGUAGUGUGAACGAAAGAUGAAAAGCACUUUGGAAAGAGAGUUAAACAGUACGUGAAAUUGUUGAAAGGGAAGCGCUUGCAACCAGACUUGCGCGCAGCUGAUCAUCCAGGGUUCUCUCUGGUGCACUCGGUUGCGCUCAGGCCAGCAUCAGUUCGGGUGAUUGGAAAAAGGCCUUGGGAAUGUAGCUUCUUUCGGGGAGCGUUAUAGCCCUCGGUGCAAUGCAGCCUACCUGGACUGAGGACCGCGCUUCGGCUAGGAUGCUGGCGUAAUGGUUGUAAGCGACCCGUCUUGAAACACGG
rnacentral:rRNA from 1 species